AUACGGAGGACGCGAGCGUUAUCCGGAUUCAUUGGGUUUAAAGGGUGCGCAGGCGGCCGUGCAAGUCAGCGGUGAAAGCCCGGGGCUCAACCCCGGAAGUGCCGUUGAUACUGCAUGGCUGGAAUGCGGUCGAGGCGGGCGGAACGUGGCGGGUAGCGGUGAAAUGCGUAGAUAUGCCACAGAACGCCGAUAGCGGAGGCAGCUCGCCAGGCCUGCAUUGACGCUCGGGCACGAAAGCGUGGGGAUCGAACAGGAUUAGAUACCCUGGUAGUCCACGCCGUAAACGAUGGGCGCUCGUCGUCGGCGACAGACAGUCGGCGGCCAAGCGAAAGCGAUAAGCGCCCCACCUGGGGAGUACGGUCGCAAGGCUGAAACUCAAAUGAAUUGACGGGG
rnacentral:rRNA from 1 species